rnacentral:rRNA from 1 species
AAUAGAUACCCUGGUAGUCCACCCCGUAAACGUUGGGAACUAGUUGUGGGGUCCUUUCCACGGAUUCCGUGACGCAGCUAACGCAUUAAGUUCCCCGCCUGGGGAGUACGGCCGCAAGGCUAAAACUCAAAGGAAUUGACGGGGACCCGCGCAAGCGGCGGAGCAUGCGGAUUAAUUCGAUGCAACGCGAAGAACCUUACCAAGGCUUGACAUACACCAGAACACCCUAGAAAUAGGGGACUCUUUGGACACUGGUGAACAGGUGGUGCAUGGUUGUCGUCAGCUCGUGUCGUGAGAUGUUGGGUUAAGUCCCGCAACGAGCGCAACCCUCGUUCUAUGUUGCCAGCACGUAAUGGUGGGAACUCAUGGGAUACUGCCGGGGUCAACUCGGAGGAAGGUGGGGAUGACGUCAAAUCAUCAUGCCCCUUAUGUCUUGGGCUUCACGCAUGCUACAAUGGCCGGUACAAAGGGCUGCAAUACCGUGAGGUGGAGCGAAUCCCAAAAAGCCGGUCCCAGUUCGGAUUGAGGUCUGCAACUCGACCUCA